rnacentral:rRNA from 1 species
UACAGAGGGGGCAAGCGUUGUUCGGAAUUACUGGGCGUAAAGGGCGCGUAGGCGGCCCGCUAAGUCGAACGUGAAAUCCCCGAGCUCAACUCGGGAACUGCGUCCGAUACUGGCGGGCUUGAGUUUGGGAGAGGGAUGCGGAAUUCCAGGUGUAGCGGUGAAAUGCGUAGAUAUCUGGAGGAACACCGGUGGCGAAGGCGGCAUCCUGGACCAACACUGACACUGAUGAGCGAAAGCCAGGGGAGCAAACGGG